CCCGCCCUUCCGCCCGCCUUUGUCAUGCCUGCAGUUCUCUAAAGGGGACAGCAGAGGGCAGCACCACCUUAGGGCUGCCGAGGGAGAGGCAGCAAGGCGCAUCACCCAAAUUAGAAACCUUUACCUUGAAAUCCCACUUAAAAGCGGGGAUGCCUUGGUAUUUCACCUCCUGACCACACCGCGCAGGAAAGGACAAGUCGAUUUCUCACCGUGCCAGGAUCUGCUCCCGUUACUGCUGAAAAAACAAUCGCAACAACAGACAAUGACAGUUAAAGCCCUUCAGCACAUGACUUUGCGAUGAUUCGUCCCUGCUUGCGAGAUUCCUGCAGUAAACGAUAAGACUAUAUUUUUAACACAUCAUGCAUUUAAGAUGGCGGCAAUAAUUCAGAAUCCAGUUUCUUGAGCAUUUGGUGGAUUUGACCAGCUUUAAUUGCUACAAAGCUCUUCCUUUUAUUCUAUCACCCAAUUCUUAACUUGCACUCUGCUUUGCAGAAAUGGUUAGAAUGUUUUAUUUUCUGUUUAAUCCAAGUUCCUCUGUUACUUGUGAGGAGAGACAACAUAACAAGAACCAAAAACGUGGCAAAAGGAACAAUGGUGAAAAGAAAACAGUGGGUUUGGAUCCACAGUUAAACUAGUUGCAACCAAGAACUGUGAUUGUCAUUGAGAAAGUUAUAUGGGCCCGUUUCCCUCUAAGAAAGGGUUUUGCCAAAGUUUGUCUUGGUUUAGCUAUGGGGUGGAGCCAUAAGCACAUCUUUUUCUAUUUUUAAUUUUGAAUGGUCAAUUUUUCAUUGAAAUUUCAACAUUUGAAAAAUUGGGUCCAGCUCUUCUAUGCAUAAUAACUGUCCAUUAUGGGCUGGGUUUUUAUUUUCCAUACACUUGUGUAAAUCAGAAGUCAGUGAAGUUACACCAAAUUGGGCAUAAAAGAGAGGCGACAUGGUGGCACUGGCGCAGUAGCAAUGUCUAUUGUUACGGUUGCCUAACAUUUUCCGAUAUAAACCCUUUGUUUUCCAUUGCUUAUAACCUUGACAAAUGUUUGCCUGAAGUCUGAGCAAAACUGGUGCAGUCAUUUCUCAAAACAAGGCUAAUGAAAAAUAGGCAGCUUUGCUGAUGUUAAAAAAGAAGUUCUGGCUUAGUUUUGAAUAGCUUUGAACUCUCUCUCUCUAUAUAUUUGCACUCUGUAUAGGGAUAGAGAGUAGCAUACAGUGUUGUUGUCUAUGGGUGUCGGAUUAAGCUCUUUCUGCAGUAUUCCCUUUUAGUACCUAUAGGCAAUACCUUUAAUGCCACAAAUACUGAGGUUAACCGCAAAUUCUUAUUUCGUUAUCUAAGCCAAGUGGCAAGUUUCUAGGCACCACGGCUGAAUAUCCACAUAGAAAAGCGGCAAGGGGUGAGGGAAGAGAGAGAGAGUUUACAGUUGUAGUGAGAUACUCUUAUUCACAAUGGCCUGCAAGAUCAAGAGAUCCAGUGAUUUGCCUGGGAGAACACAAACAGCCACUGGCGAAACCUUGAUUUAAACCAGAAGGGCCCAAUCCAUUCUCAGUGUAACAUCACUGCCUCCAGUUGAAUUACAUCAGGGACGCACUUGGCGCAAGAUGUUUAGUUCAAUGGCCAUAGUUUUACGUUGGGUCCAUUAGGGCUGCUAACGUUAGUGUUUUAUUAUAUC